UACGUAGGGGGCAAGCGUUGUCCGGAAUUAUUGGGCGUAAAGAGCGCGUAGGCGGUCCGAUAAGUCGGCUGUGAAAGUCAGGGGCUCAACCCUUGAAAGCCGGCCGAUACUGUCGGACUAGAGUCCGGAAGAGGCAAGUGGAAUUCCCGGUGUAGCGGUGAAAUGCGCAGAUAUCGGGAGGAACACCAAUGGCGAAGGCAGCUUGCUGGGACGGUACUGACGCUGAGGCGCGAAAGUGUGGGGAGCAAACAGG
rnacentral:rRNA from 1 species